CGCCUUGUGCCUGAAAGGGCGACGGUGAAAGCCGGAGCGGGGUCUCAGCAGAGGUCAUAGUAGCCGAAGGUAGCGCCGGGAAGGCUCGACCCCUUAGGCGAAGGAC
rnacentral:ncRNA from 1 species